rnacentral:rRNA from 1 species
UACGAAGGGUGCAAGCGUUACUCGGAAUUACUGGGCGUAAAGCGUGCGUAGGCGGUUUGUUAAGUCUGUCGUGAAAGACCCGGGCUCAACCUGGGAAUGGCGAUGGAUACUGGCGAGCUAGAGUACGGUAGAGGAGAGUGGAAUUCCCGGUGUAGCAGUGAAAUGCGUAGAGAUCGGGAGGAACAUCAGUUGCGAAGGCGGCUCUCUGGACCAGUACUGACGCUGAGGCACGAAAGCGUGGGGAGCAAACAGG